GGGGAUAUUGGGCAUGGGCGCAGCCUGACCCAGCAACGCCGCGUGAAGGAAGAAGGCUUUCGGGUUGUAACUUCUUUUGGCAGGGAAGAGCAGAAGACGGUACCUCUUGAAUAAGCCACGGCUAACUAC
rnacentral:rRNA from 1 species